GGGGACGACAGGUUUCGACAGGGAACGGCGGACCCGGAUUGCAAGCCGAGGUGCCAUCGACCUCGUUAAUCAGGUGGCGAAAGAUAACUGGCGAACGAGAACUCGCCCUCGCCGCCUAAUUAGGCGGUGACGUUGACCCUCGCCUCGCCCCGAUGGGCGGGGAGUCAGCGACGCAAUGUCGGGGUUGCGGCGCCAUCGAUGCCGGUAAGUGGCGCCAAAGGCUACCGGCAGUGCCGGACGCGAGCCUGCCGGAGCGGCGCGCGGCCAGGCGAGAAAAAAGCCCGGCUAAGCUUGUAGCAGAUCCUGGACGUCCUUCUUCUGGACGGGGAGUUCGAUUCUCCCCCGUCUCCACCA
rnacentral:tmRNA from 1 species